AAGGGUACUACUUCUACUUCACUACAGAAUAAAAAGUGUUUGUCAGCAGUUGGACAAUCUUUUUGGAAAAGGAGUUUCAUGGUGAAGGAGCUAAUGCCUGUAAAAUUGAACUUGAUGAAGUUCAUAAGGUGGAAAGACCGACACAUACAGAAUUGGGUUUGAUUGGUUAAUCAAAUUGAAGCCAGUAGAGGCACUAUUAAGG
rnacentral:lncRNA from 1 species